rnacentral:rRNA from 1 species
AGCGAACGCUGGCGGCAGGCCUAACACAUGCAAGUCGAACGAACCCUUCGGGGUUAGUGGCGGACGGGUGAGUAACACGUGGGAACGUACCUUUAGGUUCGGAACAACACAGGGGAAACUUGUGCUAAUGCCGAAUGUGCCCUUCGGGGAAAGAUUUAUCGCCUUUAGAGCGGCCCGCGUCUGAUUAGCUUGUUGGUGAGGUAAAGGCUCACCAAGGCUUCGAUCAGUAGCUGGUCUGAGAGGAUGAUCAGCCACACUGGGACUGAGACACGGCCCAGACUCCUACGGGAGGCAGCAGUGGGGAAUCUUGCGCAAUGGGCGAAAGCCUGACGCAGCCAUGCCGCGUGAAUGAUGAAGGUCUUAGGAUUGUAAAAUUCUUUCACCGGGGAAGAUAAUGACGGUACCCGGAGAAGAAGCCCCGGCUAACUUCGUGCCAGCAGCCGCGGUAAU